CAACAGUGCAUACCCAGCUGCAAAUCUACAUAUAAAUCAUUCUUUUUCAGUAUCUGCCCAAUAUAUCUUGGUUUGAAUUCAUCCUUCCUCCAGUUAAUAAAUACCUCAGGGUCUUCCUUCUGCCCACUGAGUACCUGGGAGUCUAUGGUCAAAGCACCCCUAGUUUGACAUCUCAGAUACCCUGAGUUUAGACACCUCAUUUAGGUGCUAUCAGUAAAUGGGAUGAAGCCAGCCUUUGUUUCAGCUGUUUUUUUUUUUCUUUCAUUUCCCCCAUCAGCAGAGAUCCGAUUUUUCUCAGGAUGAGUUCUGCUGUGUCUGAAUUCCUCUUUGUGCUCUUCCCAGCAUUCCAGGCAGUGCUGCACUGCAGCAGCACACCCCUCUUUGGAAUGUUAUUCCCUCAAGACUCCCAUGGCACAGAGAGAUGGCGACAAAGCAGCAUCAAGCAAUUGCCUCCUGGCUAGCGUUCUCGGCAAACUCUCAUGACUAUUGACUCAAAUGAGCAGCCCAGCAAGGAAAGAAACCAUUCGAUUCACAGAUUAUCAAGUGAAUCCCAAGACCAGCAUCACUGUGCUGACCAAGAGGAGCAGUCUGCAGCUUCCAGCUUUGCCCACCUUGCCCAGCCUGCAGUAUCAAUAACAAGGACAAAGGGCUCCACUCUGCGAUGCCAGCACAAACAUACAUCAGCAGCUGCACAGCACUUUAAAGACUAAGCAAGAAGCUAUCAAGCAAUUACUUAUUCCAUUUUAGAUCCACGUUCAUUAUUAUCAUGGAGCAAGUUUGAAGUUGGGGGAAUAUAAGUCUGAGAAAGCAAAUACACAUUUUGCAACCUGAGCAACUCACCUAAGAAGUAAACUCACCUACCUUUAAUUAAAGAGACAAGACCUGUAGAUAAAAAAGAAAAAUUUCUCAUCUAUGGAUAAAUCCAUAAAGAGUACUUGUGUCUUUACUCUCAUUAAAGCAGUGAGUUUUGAUAUGAUGGAGCACUGUCAGCCUUAUUCCUGCAGCGUAGUUGGGGUCAGGUGCAAUUCUAGCUGCUCCUAUGCUUGUAUAGCACUGUGUGUGGGCUGGUUUCAUUCAUGAUGUAGUCCCUAAAACACUAGUAGAGCUGUGCUGAAGAUGAAUCAGUCCUGUAGGAAAAGGUGAACAAAGAAAUUAAACUGGAAAUUUUUACCCCCAAAAUUAACAUUUUUUUUUCCUGGUGAUCCCAAAUUUGUGUUGAUUUCAAGUGUGUGUGUGUGAAAUUCACGUUAUUGCAGACAACUGACUUUUCAUAUAAACAAGAGUACAUUUGUUGUUUGGCCUGAAGCAUGUAGUGAAUCCACUGAUUAACAAGCUUCACAUAAUAUAAGCAGCACUGGAACCACUGAAGCACCUUCACCUAAGAGAAGUCUGUAUAAUUGAGGGAAUAAUUGAGGGAAUGCUGGUGGUGUCCCGCAAGUGAAAUCAGCAAAGCAAAACAGUAUCUCAAUGAAAAGACAGCAAAAUAUCAAACAGUCUCACUCAAACUUAAGAGAAGAGAUGGUCUUUCUCAUUUGCCCUCAAGUUAACUUUUUGCCUGCAUGGCUUUUACUUUUUCAAAGGAAGUACUACACUAAGUAAUUAGAGGAAAGAGCAAGAAAACAUAAAAAACUUCAGGUCAUAACAUACCUAAUAUAAAAGUUUUAGGUCAUAACUUUCAGACACUUCACAGUUUUCAGUCUCUUCAGCUACCUGAAACACAUGCUUCCCUGUAUUUUCCUAGGGAAGAAAAAAAAAAUCAAUUUUUUUUGCCUGACAGGAAUGAAGGAGAGUUUUUUGUACACGCAGUUAGAUAUGUCAGGUCACAGUGGAUGCUGAGCUCAGGUAUUCUGACAGAACAGCACUGUCAAACUCAUAUGCUUCCUGCUGAAUGUCCUCUGAAGCAAAGACAUGGGACUGCAGAGAAGGGCUUUUUUGAGUCUGCUUUCAGUCUUUCACCCCCAACACAGUGACACAUCUGCAGCAAGUCCUGCUUCCAGGUGGAUUCCAGGGUUGAAUCUCCCCCACUUACACUGCAGUGACGCGUGAGAAAGAUCACUCAAGCUCUUUGGUUAUUUAUUACUUGGUGUUUUAUCAGGCCUCCUUUAUUAACACACUCGUAAGUGCAUGUAAUUGAUUAAAUGUUUCCAGGGUUAGAAUUUCAUAAAGUCAUGCUAUAGACCAAGCAUAUCCUCAUCUACCAGAGCAAUUUGGUAAUAUUGCUUUGGAAGGAGGAGGUGUGAACAGGUCUGGGAGCAUCCCCAGUAGCCAAGCCUGCAGUCACCUCUCCCUUUGCUUUUCCACCCUUGUCCCAGGGCCAUUUCUCUGAAAGCACACCUUUACUAGUGGGAACAGAAAAGGAGAGGGCAGGAUGGUUUGGGAAUACUGCCUGGCUUUGCAUAAUCUGGUUGUUCAGUCAUUCACCCAAGAUGUCAGAGGAUCGGUCCUAAUCCCCAAGUUAUAAACCAGCAUCAGCAUGGGAGACAGCCGUGUGCAUUUCUGGAGACAUGGGGUUGGAUGUCAGCUUCAGGGAGACGUGUACAGAUCUGCGUACCAGCAGAGCAGAGACAGGCAUCAACUCAGGGCUGAGGAUUUCCCCAGACACUGUAAAAUUAGGUUACUUUAUAUGUUUUUAUCCCUGUAGACUUUUUCAAAAAUCUGUCUUUGCUUCUAAAACAUUUUCAAGUAAAGAAAGAUAUUGUGGAAGGAUUCCAUAUGUGAGCAAUUUGUAGCAGAUAGCUUUUUUUAAUGAAAGACGUAUUUUGUUUUAUUUUUUUUCUGUCUAGAAAAACACAGCUACUUUUUCAUCCUUGAUUCUGGGAGUGGAAAGUAUAAUUUAUCCCUAUGCGGUGUCAUCAGCUUUAUUUUUUGUGUGCAAACAAACAAGGAUGUUUUAGGAUAAGCAACUCUCAACAACAAACUUGAUGAAACUGGUUCUGCUUCCAAAGUACUCCUAAAAAUGUCAAGAGGAUGAAGCAAGGUUGUCAUUAGUCCAAUCUCCCAUUAUGUUCAAUGAUUAGGGUGUGAAUUUACAGGCUAGAAUUAACCUCUCUCUCAGAAGGAUGGAAAGAGGAUCUGUGCUCCAUGUUGACCUUCAUCCUCUCCACCCCUUCAUGGAGCAAAACACAGUGCAGAAGUUAGAUCAUCCCUUGUCUUGUCUUCCGCAAAUUACUUUCUAUUUCUAAGCCCUCUGCACCCAAAAGCUUUGAAAAAAAUAAGCAAUUCAAAAUGGCACUGAGAAAAGGCACCUCCAGUACACUGCAAGAUCUCUGCCUUGCAGAGAAAUAUCUUUCAGGGGAAGAGGAACUGGUUGAGUACCUAACAAGAAAUCAAGGUACCUUCUCCACUAUACUUUUUGUUGUUUCUCGCCUUUUAUAUGUAGGAAGAGAAAUAAAGACUUCUACAUGAGAGGAAAUAAAAUUAGCAAUUAAAGGUAAGUUGAGUGCCAUGUGUUUUUUGUAGCAAGAUUUUUCUUUGAGGAAAACAGUCCCCGUCAACUCAAAAUAAGUUUUGUUACAGUUUAGGGUAGUACCUAUAGAUCUCCCAGUAUGCAAGAAAAGGUUUCAAAAGGUUGUAUUAUCAUUUCAUGUAUGACAGCAGCUGAGAGAGACAGCACAAGGCCCUAGGCUGUAGAGAACAGCUUGAUCCUGUAUUCCUGGAAACCCUUAGAAAUUCUGCAAAAAGCCUAGGCCAGUUUUACUGAGAAUGCUGGAUUAGGCUAAGAAGAGAUACUUAACUUGCUGGGGUGCUUUCUAGCUUCUUUUAAGUUUCUGACUUGUGGUUAGAGGUUAAUGGAUGUGUUUAAUUGGUGAUCAAACUGUGUUGUGCUGUAGGCACGUCAAGUGUUUUUUGGGGAUAAAACCUGACUUUAAGCAUUUCUACGCAUCACGCGUAUGCAAGAAAAUGAUGGCAAGGUGAGGAACAAUUCUGGCUGUAUUAGUGCCAAAUAUAAAAUUUCCUUUGAAUUCAGCUUUCCAAGUAAAACUUGCAAAUUUCUUCGUUUGGAUACAGUAUCCUUUGUUUCAAGCAGAGAAGGUCAUGUGUGCCUCAAAUCAAUAGGUUCACAUAAAGCGUAUAAAGAGGUAAGUGCUCAACCAUUAUUGCUAAAGCUGUGGUUUCCUUAUAAGAAAGGCUAGCCCUGACUGCAAAGUCUAUUGCGUGACAAGAUCACAAAGACUAAUCAAUCACUUCAGCAGCCAGCACCAUAUAGGGAAUUUGGAGUACAACGCUCAUCUCUGACCUGCACUGUGGAUCACCCAGUGUUCUGCAGUCACUCUACAUACAGCAUUUGUUGACAUCAACAGGGCUGACAGAAAAAUAUGUGUCAAGGUGACCCUAACUUCUGCUUUGAUUAAAUGAGUUUAUAAUUUGUCACUUUGCGGGGGUGGGGGGGGAAAGCAAAUAUAUAUCAUUAACCUCUUUUGAAAGAACUGCACCUCAAUCAAGUGCAAUUAUUUUUUUAGAUGAAACCAUCCUGACCUCUCCUUGUACUAACAAAUAUUAUCUUAGCUCGAAUCUGGUAUCAGUAAAAAGAUGUUUAGUGUAUUGACCUGAAAUAAAUUAUGUCAGGACUUGUUUGUGUGGUGCAUUCAGGAGAGUGCUCUGUGUCCUCCUUUGGAAUUACUUGCAAGUAAAAGCCAUACACUUACAAAUGACUGAAUUCCUAAGGUCUGUAUCUUUGUAAAACUAGAUUUUCUAUGAGUUUCCACUAAUACAUUACCGAAUCCUUAGCAAUUCACAAAUAUCCAGACCUAUUUUUUUCACUUUAGCUUUUUUUUUUUUUUUAAUAACAAAAAGGACAACAGUAAAACUAAGAAGAUACAUAACCUUAAGCUAUGUGACGUGUCAAAACACAUUUAAAUAGAUGCCAAAAUUGGAGUGAUCUUGUUCUAUUCUUAUCCGGGCAUCAUUUUGCUCAAUCAGAACUUUAACGUUCCUUUCCUAUCCCGGGUGUAAGACCAUGCUAUUCACACUGGUUUCCAAGUAUGACAGAUUCCAGCCCAAUCUGAUACUGCAGUGACUGUUCAUUUCCCACUGGUGAUCACCCCCUCAUCUUAUGGUUUGCAAAGAAAAACAGAGAGGCAUCAGAAGACUCUAUAAUAACAACGUACACUUCACAUACAGCCAUAUUCCAGCACUAAAACACUGUGGUCUGCUUUUUUACUUUGCCAUUUUGUUUGACGUGAAUCAGAAAGAAUAUUCGGAGACCAGUUUUAUUUCUUGAGUUUGUUUUCUUCAUUUUUUUUUCAGCAUAUUUUGAGCCAAGAUCAUUUGUAUGGAUCACCCUGUGCAAAUUUGCAGGUACACAGAGAAAAAAGGUACAUAUUUCUAAAGAACAGAUUGGAAAAAAAAAUUGAAAAUUCAGUUCUUUGAAAACUCUGAGUACUUUCUUCAUUACGUAUAAUUUGGACUGUACUAAUGCAUUUGCUUGUGCACGUACCUCAUACAUCAGUUGCUACGACAUUUUCACUUGUGUUUUCUGCUGUACAACUCUAUCUGUUGCUUUCUCACUAUUCUUUAAAAAGUUUUGGAUCGAACCCUGGUUGCAAUGCACAAGUUUUAUCAAAAUCUGCAGCUGUUUUCCAUUGACUAUAUAGAACGGGAUUUAUGUUUCAUCAGUGAAUGUACACUGACUCUCUUGAUUAUACACACGUACACUUCAUACGUGCAGGCAGGAAAAAGAUCUUUUCUCAGGAAGCAAGAACAAAACACCUAGACAUACGAGCACAUACUCCAUACGUCAGUGAGAAAGACGACUUUGACACAGGGGCUAUCCCAGAUCUUGUAGCUGUCACUUGCACAGCACAGGCAGAGAUAAGGAGGAAGCUGUAAUAUAAACGAAGAGAGGAGACUCGCCUUGUGCUUCAGUUUAAUUUGCCAGAAUGUUUUCUCUCCAGCCAGCACACCGUUCGUGGUGCUGGGUCCGAGGAGUGAUGCUGUACUAGGGCUGCAGUGAUGGAUAAACAGGGAAUCUGGCCUCCCUUGCACUCACACACCACCCAGACUGCAUUCUCUGAUGGCAUUUGUUUCUCUGAGACUUCACUUAUCCAUGUGCCCUGGUGUCGUUUCCCAAUGCUGACCUUUCAGAAACCACAGGGUGAUGCUUCUCCCUUAUCCCAGCAAAGUGCAAUUGUAGAAUUUAGGGAAAAAAAAAAAAAAAGUGGGAAAAAAAAUGAAAAGAAUUUAAAAAAACCCUCUUAAUUAUUAAUACGUUUCAAAAUUGUCCUCUUAUGUUCUGGAAACUGCAGUAAAAUGUCUCAUGAUCUAGAGUUUUUUUCCCAGUAAGUUAUUCUCAGUAAAUCUUGCCUACUGGUUGCACGCAUACACAUUUAGAUAUCUCAGAUCUGUCUUUAUAUACACUUUCUCCUCAUGAAAAUCAUUCUGACUACAUAACAGGCAUGUGGGAACUUGCAUAAAUUAUGCUGAUUAUAUAUGAUUCAAACUAUAAAACACAAAAUUACAUUGCAUUUUUGAUAAGCAUAUACACAUACCAUGAGAUGCGUGAAAGGUCAGACUGGAAGUUCCUCCUUCUCGUAUGUGAAUACAUGAUUUUUUAACUAAACAGCCCUACUGGUUUAAAUCAGCCUGGAUAAGAGGCUGUACAUAAGACAACCGCCUGGCCUUGUGUUCACACUGCUACAGGGCUCCAGCUUUGCAGCUUGACCUGUGCACAGCCAAAAGCACAUUUAAGUGUGUUAGCAGGCUUCUUUUUUCCACGGGAGUGCUCUUCCUGGAUGAAGGCCAUAAUGGUUAAGUCAGCUACCUGAUCAAGAACAUGACAGAGCUCCGACACAACAUUUAAUCUGAUAUCUCUGAGUUUAUUUUAAUUUUUAUCUACAGAGGUGUGCAGUCGUAAGUUAAGAAUUACAUUCUUACAGCAUUCCCACAGCAUGAAGAAGACAGAUUAACUUUCCACAAAUGACAGAGAAUGAAUAGGUUUUAGUAAAUUUGAUGAGAAUCACACCAGCAGAAUGGCAAUACUUACCAAAAGAAAAAAAAACACAGCAAUAAACCCUGAUUCUUUCAGAACAUUCAACCCUCUCUUUGAGUCCAUGUAUGCUUGCUUUCUUUUAACGUAGCUGACUUACACUGAAGUUUCCAAACCUGCUUCUUUAUGCACUGUCAUCCAAAUUCUGAUUUAGGUGCUUGUAUUCAGAAAAAGUGAAUGCUGUUUAGUCCACACAAAGACAGAUGCGUCCUCAAAGAACAGCUACACUUCGUUGGAGAACUGACAUUGCCAGCUUUUGACACCAGGAUUUGGAAGUACUGGUGCUAAGAGGCUGGAUCCAAUUACUCUUGUGUCGCAUGAGGACCUGCUUUAACACUAGGGUAGGUGCUGAGCCAACACUCUUUGAAGUCCAUUGAAAGUCUCCCAUUGACUUCCGAAGUAGGAUGAGUUGUGUCUGAAAUACACAGCACAAAUUUUUCUUCUCAGAUGCCAGAACUGGCCUCCUUUGAUAGUGUCAUAGGUGUGGAAAGUUAAUGCCAGCCAAAAUGCCUAAAAGACCCAUGCAGGUGCAGUUUCUCACACUUUAAAGAGAUGUAUGGAGCCAGUCUGUUUUUGCUGCUAUUCAUUUUAAUAUUUCUUGUGAUGUGAGGCACUACUUUUCACAAGGUGCUUUUUCUUGAUGCUUUCACACUUUUUCACACACUGGACCCUGCCUGGCACAUUCACCAAUCUCUGCAGCACUUCAGCAUGUUCUCUUAGGUAUUUUAGAGACUCUCACUCCUUAAAUACAUGGCAUACAUGCAGAGGAUGCACAUGCAAGAAACUUGUUGCUUAUUUGCUACCACUUUCGUAUAGCAGUCAGCGUGACGUUACACAUAGAGAGACUUGGUCUUAGCAAGACUAAAUGUAUCCUGCCAUACUGCACAAGAGACAAUCCUCAGUAAUUUUAUUUUCAGUCAUUUUCUAGAGAGCAAAAAACAGGUAAGCUUUUGUUCUAUGUAGAAAAAUGGUGGAAAACCUAGAAGAAAGAUUUGGGAUCUUCAGAAACUCUUGGCUCACAAAGUGAUGGUGAUGUACUAUAUGUCUAAAACUGCUUGUCUGGAUUAGAGCAGGACUGGCAGGUCCUGAUCCACUCAGAGCGGAGUGCUUUCUGCAUCUCUUUAGCUCAUGGGAAGCCACACUGAUUCCCACAGAGAUGCAAAGGUUGACUAACCAUUGUUUCAAGUACAGUGAGCCCAAUUCUAUGCCUAAAUUUGCAAGGAAACCUAUCAGGAGCUACAGAACAUUUGGAAGGGCAUCCCAGUAGCAUUUCUACUUAUUUCAUUUGCAAGGAGCUCUUCUAAUACUUCCAGCAAUUAAAGAUGUGCAAGGAUAACUGAGACAGAUACAGGACUCCUUACCUGUUCACCACUUCAGCACAUUUUCCACUUGGUAACAAUGUCACUCGUGCAUGUGUUUGGUGGUCUUCCCUGGCUGUGACCUCUGAGUAAUCUGAAUACUCUUGUAAAAAUCUGGAUCAUGCAGAACCCAAAUCAGAUUUUCCUGUUGUAGCAGGAGGAAAGCUUCUUCGGAGAUUCCUCCAUGCCAUAUUCCAGCAUACUACAGCUACUGGUUAUGACUGACUGCUUUGUUAUGGCUAAAAAAAGUAUAAAAUCUUUCCAGUAAAGCUUCUAGCAUUCAUUUAAAAAGGACACAUCUGGGUAAAGGUGAAGAUCACAAAGCUUAGCCCCAAGUAAAAAUAUGAAUGCAAUGGUCAGAAAAAUUUGAAUAUUUGUAGGAGUUUAAAAUUGAAAUUGACAUGUAAACAUGUAGCCACGUUUAUUUUCUGUACAUCUGUACAACUAUUUGUAAUAGAGAAAAGGCAGACACGUUAUUGAUUUCAAGUCUUUUUCUCUGGUGAUGAAAGCAAUGACUUUAAUGAAAAUAAUUAUUUGCAUGAUAAUAUUAAUGACAGUCAAAAUAAUGCCACCGUGUACAAAAAUGUGUGCUGAACAAAUAAGGGUCAGAAUCAGGAAUACUUAAAUUUGAAUAUUCAAUUAACAAUAAUCGAAAAGAUGUGGGGCAUGGUAUGUAAAUGAAAGUGUCCUGGGGCCAAACGUUCUCAACAGAGAAGCCAGCAAGAUAUUAAAAAAAACCACAUGACUUUGUUUUUCAGCUCAUGAGCAAAUACAUGUUGAAAAUAUGUUUAUUUGUUCUAACAGCAAAAACAAAUAUAUUCUAUAAUGUAUGUAUUAGGAGGAUGUAUAACUCACACAGCAUUCAUGGCUUGGAAAAUGUGACUACAUAACAGUAAGUGCUGUGGAAAGAAGGGGAAAAAAGGGAGAGCUGUAAGAAGGACAGAUGCUCAAGGAGAAAAAAACUUGCUAACCAGAGGCUUGUACAUGGACCACAUCAUCCUCUGUCCCACAUGCUGAUUUCUUGAGCAGCCUUUUGCCAAGAUAAAUUUUUUCUUGGACUCUAGAAUUUGUAGGAUGUGCUUGGCUUGCGUUGAGAACACAGCAGUUUCUUCUCCACACAAACAUCUCUAUCUAGUGAGGCUUGGUAUAAACAGAAAGACUGCCUCACUAAUUAUUUAUACAAAGACAUAGAUAGCUGCAUUCUGGAACGUUCAUAGGAACAAUAAUCCUUUUUUUGGGGUGAUCUUACUGGGUUUUUGACUUUCAGGGUUGUGAGAUGCUGUGGAAAAGCAUCUAGACCUUCAUCUGUAAGAAAGUAAUUUACAGAUUAACUGCAAUGAUUCAUGCAGAUAUGUAUAUUCUCUCACUUCAGAGCGUUGAUAUUGCUUUUUUAGUAGUAAGGUAUUUAUCAAAAGCAGGACUUAUCCAGAUAAAGAGUGCUUCUUUCUACCUGGCCUCUUGGCUUUUGAGUAAGCUGCGUGAGUAAGCAGUGCAACUGAGCUACUAGGACUGACCUUAGUGUAAGUGUUUACAUUAAGAGAAGAUUCCUACAUGUCCUGGAAAUGUACUGCUUUCACCUACUCCAGCAAACAUGAUUUUCAUGAAAUUAAUAAGAUUACUUUUAUGAGACAAGUGCAACUCAUUCAUAAGUGUUUUCAGAAUCAAAGCAACAGUUUUAUUAAUUACACCCCAUUCUCUUUCCACAUUUCUCCCCACUUUCAGACUAAAGAUUUGAAUUACUGAAACAAUAUUAGAAAGGGGAGUAGGAGAAAAUAAUUUUCUGAAUGUUUCACAUACCAUUGUCCUUAUCCUCUCAUUUGAGCAUGAAAUAGAGAAGCAACACGGCAAGCCCUUAGCAGCUUGCAGAAAAGCAACAGUGCAAACAGGGAAGAGAAGAAGGAAUAACACAGUCAGUGGAAAAACAUGCUGCAUUUUGGACAGGCAGAACACUGGUGAACUGCAGUCACCUCAGACCUUAAACUGAACCUUGCAAGUAGUCUUACUCUAUUUUAAGCAGGUCUUAAGGAACUGUGGGAUUGAGUCUCAGUUUAGACUCUGGGAUUAGCAUUCCUCCUGUGCAAAGAACCAUGGAAUUUUAAUGAAUACAAGUAGUCAGAAUUUCUACUGUCUCCCAGAGAUUUGUUUAUUUACUAAUUUAGAGACAUGUUUAACAUCUUACUUUGGUGAUGCAUGUGUACCAGCACCAUACUGAGAUAAUGGUUAAAAAUCUGAUGCUGAGAAAAGAGGGGCAUCUGUGAGUCAUAUAUGCUCCCAAGCACAUAAAAAUGCUCUUUGAAAAUACUGUCCCUGACAUAGACCAUGAGAUACUAAAAGAUUACAGCAGUCACAAAGACAUCACACCAAGGAGUCUAGUUCACUUUCCUUUGGAAGUUUCUGCGUUUAAAAUAGAAGAGAAAUUUGAGGUAAUAUUUUAAUUUCUGCUGUAAACACAUGAGUAUUUUCUUCAGGACAGUGAUGUCCUUAGAAAUUUGGUCUUAGCACCUGAUUUAGUGAAAUAAAAUCUUGUUGAAACAACACAUCAUAUCCUUUACUCCAAGUCCACAAAGAGAUAUGGAUCUUAAUUCCACUGACAGAAACUAUCAGCCAUUUCCCAACUCUACAUUUCAACUGCUGCCUUUCUUUACUUCAGGAUAGGGGAAUUCUCUUGCUGCCCUGAAAGCAAGAACUGCUUUCAUUCCAUUAGAAACUCUCUUCCAUUAGAAACUCUCUUCCAUUAGAACUGCAGGGACCCACUGCAACACAAGACAAGGGAGCUGAGAGGGAACUUAGUGAAGCUGUAACCACAAUCAGCCAAAAACCUCCAUCCAGCUUGUGAAUCAAGGCACUUGGCCCUAGCACUUUGCUGGGUCCCAGACUUUGAGUACAUGAUCUGUAUGGUACCAAGAAGGGCAACCAAGCAAGCUGUUGUUACCUUUAGGAUGGGAUUUUUUAACCUGCAUUUUAAAUGAUUUGGGACAAGGCUUUCCAUUUCUUGUUGACAUUUGCUUUUGCAAAAAGUAAGUAGCUGUCUAUGUGAAAUCUGACCACACAGUUCCAAAAAUCUGGCUGCAUUCAUUCAGCACCAAACAGUAACAUGCAACGUGGUCAUUUUUAGUCAAUCUCAAGAAGAAUUAUGGAUAUUGGUUUCUUCUUAAAAUGAACAUAAAUUACAGCAAAUAUCAGGAAAGCCAAUAAACGCAAACCAAAAUAAAUAAAUAAAAAAAACUCAUCUCAACUCCCAGUUUUCCCAGAGCACUUUCUGUUGUUUCUGAAGUUAAGCCACACUAUCAGCAACCCUGUUUUAACAUCUUUACCUGCAAAAGUAUAUACUUAAUUAAUUUAUUUACUUCCUAAUGUCACAAGUAAAUGAUUAUUUACUGAAUUUUUAUCUUAAUAUUUAUAUAUGUUUUUGUUAAGAUUUAAAAGAGUUGCUUGAAAAAUAAGAUAUUCUGGAGUCAAAUGAAGCUUUGGUAAAAAACGGCUUGAUAAUACAUUCUCUAUGAUAAAUUCAGUAGGGUGAACAUUCGGAGUUGAAGUAGUGUUCCAUGACAUACAAAAUUUAUAAUAAAAGUGAAAUUGUGUUCUUAACAUCCUAUACAAUAAGCGUUUUUUUAAAGCAGAUAUCUAAUUACCUCUUAAGGCAAUUACUCUACUUGUCUCCCUGGUGACUCCACUCUCCUCAUAAUGCACUGAUCAAAUUUUUCAUGAUUAUUUCCCAAACAAGAAAAUGAUAUAUUUGAAAAAUCAAUAGCAAAGAGUUAGUCUUCUGCACGAUUCCUUAUACGUUCAAGAUAGUGAUCUUACCAGAAUGGGCCCUGUUAUUUUUAAAAGAUCUUUAGUUAGCAAAGUCAGUAGCAGUAAGGCCAUGGGACUGGUAGCAAAAAGUCAACUGCACAUCUGUACACUUAAUUUUGUGGCUAUAAACAACUACGUCACAUUUCAAGCAAUAACAAUGGGAUGGUUUUCAGCACCGCUCUACCAAGCAGGCAUGUUUUCUAUUUUCUUCUUGUAUAUACAAUUAAAAGCAUUCCCACCAGAGAAAUCUGCCCUGCAUUCACUUCAGAAACACAACAUGAGGAGAGAUGGCUCUCAAAAGUCAAAAUCCUGCCUUUAUUUGGACCACAUCAUAAAAGAAAAUACACUAUAUUUUCAGGGCUUCUAUCGAAAGUUUGAAUUCUCUGACUAAUUGUCAAUACUUACCACUGUAUUCAAUUAAUAAAGAAAUCUCCUUUCAACAGAGAAAUCUUUUUCAUUCUUUGUAGAAAGGUGGGUUUGCCUUUUAUCAGACAAGGGAUGAGGAACUGAGAACAGUAGGUAAAAGGCACGUUUAAAAGUCUUGCUCUAGGGG
ensembl:lncRNA